GUUUUGGGGGUCACAAACGCGAUCUUCUCUCUUCGUUUUAGUUUCGCCUCUGCGUUCUUGGGUGAUCCGCUUAAUUAUGAUACUAUGUUUGGCUCUUUGGGUGAUUGACGCGAGCAUUCUCUCUCUGUUUCUCUCUUCGUUGUAGGCUGUCGUCUGCGCAUCUGGAGAUUCUUGGGUGUGUGGCUGAUUUGGGUGAAGAGAAGGAGGGUGAUUUUGGAGGAAACGGGAGAGGAGUUUCUACAUGAGUGAAGGGAAGGAGAGGGAUGAUGAGGUAUUAGGGUGAUUAGCGUGAUCUUCUAUGUUUCUUUCUGUGUUCAUUCUUGGGUGGUCUUUUCGGAUCUACAGAUUCUUCCGUGUGUGAUUGAUUUGGGGUAGGAGAGGCAGUGUGUUUGUGGACGAAAUGAAAGAAGAAUUGACAGUGAAAGAUUAACGGGCUGGAUCAUAUCUUUUUGGGGAUAGAGAUAUUCUUUGGAGGCUCUACAAAGAAUACGCCUUUAGAGGAGAGGAAUCCUUCUUGCUUGAAAGAAGGAGAAGGAAGAAGAGAGAAGCUUUUGUUUGCUUGAAAGAAAAGAAGUGGAAGGGAUUUGAACAAACAAAAACGAGAAGUGGUGGUAUUGCUCUGUUCUCUGAUUUUUGGAUUGUUGUUCUUUGCUUCCUUGAUGCAGUUGCCUUUCUCUUGAGGGUCUGUUAGCAGAAUAUCAGAAGAGAUCAGAAACGAGAACUUCUCCCUCUUGCCACCUAUCCUAUCUUUCAAGAUCAGGCUUGAAGUUUUAAAGUAGCUCAACUUCCCAGGUGUCCGCUUCCAGCUGCAUUCAUGAAAUAUGUAGAAACUUCUGUGCAAUUUUCUGAACAAGAAAUCUGACAUUCAUGAAAUAGGUUGCAUAUAGCUUGCUGCACCAGAACCUUAGAAGCAAGCAUUGCAGAUUAGCAUACAGAGAGCUUGAACAACAACUUCAAUUUCAGAUAUUACUUUGUAAGUUUGAUGGAUGAAUUUGAAUUGAAGAUCCAAACAGUGAAGCCACAGUCAAGCUUAAAGGAAAACCAGCUGAACAGUUGUUUGGAAUAACUUGCAGAGAACUCAUAGACAAGUACCCUUAUGCUCCACAGGAAACAUUGCCACAAGAAAUAUUGCAAACAAAAAGGCAAAUUCACAUUUUCCAAAUCCAAAUCAGUGAGGCAAAUGACUUCAUAGUGAAAGGUGUCUUUCCAAGCACAAAGAAUCAACCAAGUGCCAGCACACCAGCUCAUCCACUUUAUGACAAAAAAAGAUCCGUCGAUAAAGGAAGAAGACAACUAUUUGCUGCCAAUCCAGACAAAAAGCUCCGCAGGGAAGGAAGUACUGAAUCAGCAACAUCAUCCACAAACACUAUGAACAAGGAAAAAAUGGAGUGAACUAUCAUGUCACUUUUUGUGUAAAUAGAAAUGGAGGCAACAACUUUUUGGACAACCUCCACAGCUAAUCAUCACUAGGCUAACAAGCUCUCAGUAACUGAUGUCACUUUUGAUAUAGUCACUAGGUUAGCCUAUAAGUAGAUCACUGUAUUUUGGAGAAGCUGUUUUAACAGCAUUUGUAAUAUAUAUUUCAACAUUACCAAAACACCUAUAUUAAUGGUAAUGUUAGCUCCUGAUAUGAAGCAUGAAUCAAUGUAUUUUUGAGAAGCUGUUUUAUAUA